GGAUGAAGAACGUAGCGAAAUGCGAUAAGUAAUGUGAAUUGCAGAAUUCAGUGAAUCAUCGAAUCUUUGAACGCACAUUGCGCCCCUCGGUAUUCCGAGGGGCAUGCCUGUUCGAGCGUCAUUAUAACCCUUCAAGCUCAGCUUGGUGUUGGGGCCUGCUGUAACUGGUAGCCCUUAAAAUCAGUGGCAGUGCUAUUAGGCUCUAAGCGUAGUAAUUCUUCUCGCUAUAGUGUGUAGUGAGCGCUUGCCAGAACCCCAAACUUUUAUAUGAUUGACCUCGGAUCAGGUAGGGAUACCCGCUGAACUUAAGCAUAUCAAUAAGCGGAGGA
rnacentral:misc_RNA from 1 species